CCUCACUGUUUGGUGUAAGUGUG
rnacentral:miRNA from 14 species